GAUAAACGCUGGCGGCGCACAUAAGACAUGCAAGUCGAACGGACUUAACCAUUAGUUUACUAUUGGAGCGGUUAGUGGCGGACUGGUGAGUAACACGUAAGCAACCUGCCUAUCAGAGGGGAACAACAGUUAGAAAUGACUGCUAAUACCGCAUAUGCCUAAGUACCACAUGGUACAAUAGGGAAAGGAGCAAUCCGCUUUGAGAUGGCCUCGCGUCCGAUUAGCUAGUUGGUGAGGUAAUGGCCCACCAAGGCGACGAUCGGUAGCCGGACUGAGAGGUUGAACGGCCACAUUGGGACUGAGACACGGCCCAGACUCCUACGGGAGGCAGCAGUGGGGAAUAUUGCACAAUGGGGGAAACCCUGAUGCAGCGACGCCGCGUGGAGGAAGAAGGUCUUCGGAUUGUAAACUCCUGUUGUUGGGGAAGAUAAUGACGGUACCCAACAAGGAAGUGACGGCUAACUACGUG
rnacentral:rRNA from 1 species